AGUAUAAUAUUUUACAAAAAUAUUAAAUUGCAAAUUUAAAGAUAGAAUUAUAUUUCUUUAUACUU
rnacentral:tRNA from 1 species